GUCAUCUCCUUUCCUUGCCACCGCCCUAAACACGCAUCGCAAACUCCAUUCAUUCUUUAUGGGUAAACCCACACAGAUCACCCAACCUCACAAACGUCUCCCUAGGAAGCAAAGUGACUACCCCGGCGACCCCUCACUGUCACGGCGGGGCGAUACCCAUUGUCUAUUUAGGGGUAUCAGGUCGUCAAAUUCAGAUUGAAGAACGAGUACAGAGCUACUGGAAACGAUUAGGGUUCGUCAAUUCAUCCAGCUAAAAUUUUCGAAUCCUAUCAACUUUUGUAUGGGUUUUGUUUUCUCAGGUUAUACGAUAUUUGAAGCACGGAUGGUGAACAAGCGAUUAGGGUUCGUUAAUUCAUCGUGAGACGGUUUUGAUGCAGAAGUUUUAGGUUUACUGAGCAUUUCUCAUCUAGCCAUGAAUAGGAGAACUGGGCUCUUAAAUUUUUGUUGAUGUCGAAGUAAAGAGGUUGUCGAAUAUUGGAUUUUAUCUAAAUAAAGUCAAAAGGGCGAGGGUAAACGACAGAUCCGGUGACCCAAACAGUGGAGAUAAUCGAGUGGAACAUGGACAGCCGCACCUGCCGGCGAUGGUAUACGACAGAUCCGGUGACCCAAACAGUAGAGAUAAUUGAGUGGAACAAGAACAGCCGCACGUGUCGGCGAUGAUGGUGCUCCGGAUGGUUUUGGUGUAAUAGAGUUGGAGAAAUGGUUGGAACUCAAUAGCGGGCCAAACGGACUAAGUUUCUAUUGACAGAUUCAAACGGGUUCGCAAACCGAACACCCGAAAAGGUAUAAACCAUUCACAUUGAACUCUAUGAACAUGAUAAUAUAUUUAGGCAUGAUUUUAUAAUUAGACGAUUUAUAUAUUAUGAAUUUGCAACAUGUUGCUGCAUGUGUGUUGUAAGUUUGGCAGAGGUUGUUGUUUAUGCUUUCUUCGUUUGUACCCUUGCAUAUCCUAUUUGUACUGUCUUACAAAGUUGACGCGUGUACUCUGAGGUGCCUUCCCCGCCUAUCGUUUUCUUCCUGUGAUUUGUUUGCAGCUUUCCACUUUUCUCGGUUUUUGAUAUGUUGUUCGCUAAAUGCAGGCUCGCGUGCUUUUGUGAAGCGUAAUUUAUCUUGAUCGGAGUCUUCAGUAACCUGUAACCUGAUUGGUUUCCCCUCUUUUAUGAUUUGCUCCGGUAUUUGUCUUUCGUUUUAUUGUAUCAACUUUGCGUUCGGAUGGCUUAUCAGGUUUUGCAAUUUGGUCAUUGGCUUUGUUGCUUUUGUGCUUCAAGUGUUGUUUAUUUAGGGUUUCUGAUGAUGGUUGGUGGUUUUCAUAUGUUGGUCGACUUACUUAGGUAAGUUAUUCUUCAUUUUUUGUUAUUUUGGAUUGUGUUUAAAUUUUUUAUCUUUAAAGCUUUUUGUUUAUGAUUUUUUAAUUUGGGUUCGAUUGUUUUGCAUGUUGUCUUUGCUGUUUGGUUCAUGUUUUAAUUGUUGAUACAAAUUAGAGAUUUUUACCUUAAGAUUUCACAAGCUGUAAGAUGCAACAGUUGACUAGCUGCACAACAUCCUCAUAUUUUUUGAAAUACACCAACAGAUCUUUUGUUGGCAUGUAUGAGCUUAAUGAUCUUAAGUUACUUUUUUAGCUAUUUUCAACAGAUGACUCAUCCGGCUGCUGUGGAAAAUGUUAAAAGAGAAGUAAAUAUAAUGCAAGCUUUAAGUGGACAUGAAAAUGUGGUUCAGUUUCAUAAUGCCUAUGAAGAUACUAUGUGUACAUAGAUAUGGAGUUAUGUGAGGCUGGUGGGCUGUUUGACCAUAUAAUAUUGGCUUUUUUGGUUAAACCAAUUAGUUUUUUAUUAAAUUUUAUAGCGAAUACAAUUUGUAUAGCUUUGUUUUGUACAUCCUUCAUAUAUAGGCUAGGCGAUUCUACUAUAGAACAUGAUGUAACAAACACUUGGUUUUUAUUACGUAUGAUGCAUAUGAAUGGAUCCCCGCCGCAUCGCGGCGGGUGAUAAAUCUAGUUUUGAUUA